GAUGAACGCUGGCGGCGUGCCUAACACAUGCAAGUCGAACGAAGCACCUUACCUGAUUCUUCGGAUGAAAGUUUGGUGACUGAGUGGCGGACGGGUGAGUAACGCGUGGGUAACCUGCCCUGUACAGGGGGAUAACAGCUGGAAACGGCUGCUAAUACCGCAUAAGCGCACGAGGAGACAUCUCCUUGUGUGAAAAACUCCGGUGGUACAGGAUGGGCCCGCGUCUGAUUAGCUGGUUGGCAGGGUAACGGCCUACCAAGGCAACGAUCAGUAGCCGGUCUGAGAGGAUGAACGGCCAAAUUGGAACUGAGACACGGUCCAAACUCCUACGGGAGGCAGCAGUGGGGAAUAUUGCACAAUGGGGGAAACCCUGAUGCAGCAACGCCGCGUGAGUGAAGAAGUAUUUCGGUAUGUAAAGCUAUAUCAGCAGGGAAGAUAAUGACGGUACCUGACUAAGAAGCUCCGGCUAAAUACGUG
rnacentral:rRNA from 1 species